GAUGAACGAGGGAGGGGGGAAGAAUACAUGCAAGUCGAGCGAACAGACGAGGAGCUUGCUCCUCUGACGUUAGCGGCGGACGGGUGAGUAACACGUGGAUAACCUACCUAUAAGACUGGGAUAACUACGGGAAACCGGAUCUAAUACCGGAUAAUAUAUUGAACCGCAUGGUUCAAUAGUGAAAGACGGUUUUGCUGUCUCUUAUAGAUGGUUCCGCGCCGCAUUAGCUAGUUGGUAAGGUAACGGCUUACCAAGGCAACGAUGCGUAGCCGACCUGAGAGGGUGAUCGGCCACACUGGAACUGAGACACGGUCCAGACUCCUACGGGAGGCAGCAGUAGGGAAUCUUCCGCAAUGGGCGAAAGCCUGACGGAGCAACGCCGCGUGAGUGAUGAAGGUCUUCGGAUCGUAAAACUCUGUUAUUAGGGAAGAACAAAUGUGUAAGUAACUAUGCACGUCUUGACGGUACCUAAUCAGAAAGCCCCGGCUCACUACGUU
rnacentral:rRNA from 1 species